rnacentral:rRNA from 1 species
UACGUAGGGGGCAAGCGUUGUCCGGAAUCAUUGGGCGUAAAGAGCGCGUAGGCGGUCCGGUAAGUCCGCUCUGAAAGUCCGGGGCUCAACCCCGGGAGGCGGGCGGAUACUGUCGGGCUAGAGUCCGGAAGAGGCGAGUGGAAUUCCUGGUGUAGCGGUGAAAUGCGCAGAUAUCAGGAGGAACACCGGUGGCGAAGGCGGGUCUCUGGGCAGUAACUGACGCUGAGGAGCGAAAGCGUGGGGAGCGAACAGG